rnacentral:tRNA from 1 species
GCCGGUGUAGCUCAGUUGGUUAGAGCAGCUGUUUUGUAAACAGCAGGUCGUCGGUUCGAAUCCGACCCCCGGCUCCA